CUGGCGGCGUGCCUAACACAUGCAAGUCGAACGAGAAAGUGGAGCAAUCCAUGAGUACAGUGGCGUACGGGUGAGUAACACGUGACUAACCUGCCCUCGAGUGGGGAAUAACUUCGGGAAACCGAGGCUAAUACCGCAUAACAUCUACGGAUCAAAUGCGCGAGCAGCUUGAGGAGGGGGUCGCGGCUGAUUAGCUAGUUGGCGGGGUAACGGCCCACCAAGGCAAUGAUCAGUAGCCGGCCUGAGAGGGCGCACGGCCACACUGGAACUGAAACACGGUCUAGACUCCUACGGGAGGCAGCAGUGGGGAAUUUUGCGCAAUGGGGGAAACCCUGACGCAGCAACGCCGCGUGGAGGAUGAAGCCCCUUGGGGUGUAAACUCCUUUCGAUCGGGACGAUUAUGACGGUACCGGGUGAAGAAGCACCGGCUAACUCUGUGCCAGCAGCCGCGGUAAUACAGAGGGUGCAAGCGUUGUUCGGAAUUAUUGGGCGUAAAGGGUGCGUANGCGGUGCGGUAAGUCUUCUGUGAAACCUCCGGGCUUAACUCGGAGCCUGCAGGGGAAACUGCCGUGCUGGAGUAUGGGAGAGGUGAGUGGAAUUCCCGGUGUAACGGUGAAAUGCGUAGAUAUCGGGAGGAACACCUGUGGCGAAAGCG
rnacentral:rRNA from 1 species